UCGAGAAUUUUUCACAAUGGGCGAAAGCCUGAUGGAGCGACGCCGCGUGGGGGAUGAAUGGCUUCGGCCCGUAAACCCCUGUCAUUUGCGAACAAACCUUGUCAUUUAACAGACGAUAAGCUGAUAGUAGCGAAAGAGGAAGGGACGGCUAACUCUGUGCCAGCAGCCGCGGUAAUACAGAGGUCCCAAGCGUUGUUCGGAUUCACUGGGCGUAAAGGGUGCGUAGGUGGCGGGGUAAGUCUGAUGUGAAAUCUCCGAGCUUAACUCGGAAACUGCAUCGGAUACUGCCUUGCUCGAGGGUUGGAGGGGGGACUGGAAUACUUGGUGUAGCAGUGAAAUGCGUAGAUAUCAAGUGGAACACCAGUGGCGAAGGCGAGUCCCUGGACAACUCCUGACACUGAGGCACGAAAGCUAGGGGAGCAAACAG
rnacentral:rRNA from 1 species